UACGUAGGGUGCAAGUGUUAAUCGGAAUUACUGGGCGUAAAGCGUGCGCAGGCGGUUUUGGAAGUCUGACGUGAAAUCCCCGGGUUUAACCGAGGAACGACGCAUGAUACUGGCAAGCUAGAGUACCAAAGAGGGGGAUGGAAUUCCUGGUGUAGCGGUGAAAUGCGCAGAUAUCAGGAAGAACACCCGUGGCUAAGGCGGUUCUCUAGUACGGUACUGACGCUGAGACGCGAAAGCGUGGGGAGCGAACAGG
rnacentral:rRNA from 1 species